AUUGAACGCUGGCGGCCGGCCUAACACAUGCAAGUCGAGCGAGCGGCGGACGGGUGAGUAAUGUAUGGGGACUGCCCGAUAGAGGGGGAUCACUACUGGAAACGGUGGAUAAUACCGCAUACUAUCGGAUAACCCAUAUGGGAUUAGCUAGUGGGUGGGGUAAAGGCUCACCGAGGCGACGAUCGCUAGCUGGUCUGAGUGGAUGACCGGCCACACGGGGACUGAGACACGGCCCAGACUCCUACGGAGGCAGCAGUGGGGAAUAUUGCACAAUGGGCGCAAGCCGGAUGCAGCCAUGCCGCGUGUAUGAAGAAGGCCUUAGGGUUGUAAAGUACUUUCAGCGGGGAAGCGUUACCCGCAGAAGAAGCCCCGGCUAACUCCGUGCCAGCAGCCGCGGUAAUUC
rnacentral:rRNA from 1 species